UACGGAGGAUCCGAGCGUUAUCCGGAUUUAUUGGGUUUAAAGGGUGCGCAGGCGGGAGAUUAAGUCGGCGGUGAAAUUUUGCAGCUCAACUGUGAAAGUGCCUUCGAAACUGGUUUCCUUGAGUGUAGAUGAAGUAGGCGGAAUUUGUGGUGUAGCGGUGAAAUGCAUAGAUAUCACGAGGAACUCCGAUUGCGUAGGCAGCUUACUAGACCAAUACUGACGCUCAUGCACGAAAGCGUGGGGAUCAAACAGGAUUAGAUA
rnacentral:rRNA from 1 species